GUAGGGACGCUGGGGAGAUCAAGGUCAGAAGAUGGUGAUGGUGAGCUUGCUUCUACUCUUCCCAUGAUGGCCAGUCAUCCUGAGACAGAAGCCGAAAACUUUUCAGAAGCUCCACAAACAGCUGUAGUACACAUGAUCCCUUCAACAGAAAAUUAUGCACUACCGUCUUCCACUGGAGAUGUAGGACAUCCCAAAGACCAGGUGUGUGAGGGAAAGCCAGAGCCCAGACUGCUGUACUGGGUUAUUUCUGUUUUGAACAGAAAUGGCCACAGAAAAAAAUGAGGACCUGGAGUGUGGCAAGACGGCCAGGUGAGACGGCUGCAGCUGGACGGGCAGAUGGACCAGGUGGGCUACAGACGUCGGUUGUAGGAGGACGGAGGUGGACUGGAGGUUUGGAGAUGGAGGACUGGCCCAAAAGGAGUACUGCUGAUCUGGACGCCGCAGAGGAGCUGGAGCCCAGCUGGAAGAGCGGGAAUUGCGGGAUCGCAGCUGGAGGUCUGUUGGGAACCGGAGGAUCGGUCGGCCUGGGAGCAGCAGAGGACUACAUCCCUUUCCCCUCCCUUGUUGUUGGGCCAGCUAAGACUCUCUCUCAGAUUUAAUCUGGAGAUGGAGGACUGGCCCCAAGGAGUGCUGCUGAUCUGGCGGCCAACUGUAGGAGUGGGGACUGCUAGGUCGCCGCUGGAGGUUCGCUGGGAACCGGAGGAUCGGUCGGACCUCUACUGGAAACAGUAGAGGACCGCGCCUCCUUUUCCCCGUUUUGGGCCAGUUAAGAAUCUCUCACAAACUUGUGUAUUGAUUUCUUGUCAGGAACUGUCUAUGCCUCCUUUUUUUAAC